UAAUACCUUUUGCUGAAUCCAAAAUUUGGAGCGGGGGAACCACUUUUGUGGCACUUGCCACUUGGGGCGAAUCUUAUGUUUAAGUAGGGAUACUCUCACAUCCCGAGUCCGACAGCUAACCUCGUAAGCUUUAUGGGAGAGGUAGG
rnacentral:sRNA from 2 species